rnacentral:rRNA from 1 species
AUUGAACGCUGGCGGCAGGCCUAACACAUGCAAGUCGAGCGGAGCGGCGGACGGGUGAGUAAUGCCUAGGAAUCUGCCUGGUAGUGGGGGAUAACGUCCGGAAACGGGCGCUAAUACCGCAUACUAUCAGAUGAGAAUAGGUCGGAUUAGCUAGUUGGUGGGGUAAAGGCCUACCAAGGCGACGAUCCUUAACUGGUGUGAGAGGAUGAACAGUCAAGCUGAAACUGAGAAACGGUCCGGACUCCGACGGGAGGCAGCAGUGGGGAGUAUUGGACAAUGGGCGAAAGGCUGAUCAAGCAAUGCCGCGUGGGUGAAGAAGGUCUUCGGAUUUUAAAGCUCUUUAAGUUGGGAAGCGUUACCAACAGAAUAAGCACCGGCUAACUUCGUGCAAGCAGCCGCGGUAAUAC